GGACUACAAGGGUUUCUAAUCCCGUUCGCUCCCCUAGCUUUCGUGUUUGAGCGUCAGGUGCAGUCCAGGUGGCCGCUUUCGCCACUGGUGUUCCUCCGGAUCUCUACGCAUUUCACCACUACACCCGGAAUUCCACCACCCUCUACUGCCCUCUAGUCUCGCAGUAUCGGACAACCUCCCCCGGUUGAGCCGAAGGAUUUCAUGCCCGACUUGCCAAACCGCCUGAACACGCUUUACGCCCAGUAAAUCCGGAUAACGCUCGGUACCUACGUUUUACCGCGGCUGCUGGCAC
rnacentral:rRNA from 1 species